CCUACGGGAGGCUGCAGUGGGGAAUAUUGGACAAUGGGGGCAACCCCGAUCCAGCCAUGCCGCGUGUGUGAAGAAGGCCCUCGGGUUGUAAAGCACUUUCAGUGAGGAAGAACGCCUGGUGGUUAAUACCCAUCAGGAAAGACAUCACUCACAGAAGAAGCACCGGCUAACUCCGUGCCAGCAGCCGCGGUAAUACGGAGGGUGCGAGCGUUAAUCGGAAUUACUGGGCGUAAAGCGCGCGUAGGUGGCUUGAUAAGCCGGUUGUGAAAGCCCCGGGCUCAACCUGGGAACGGCAUCCGGAACUGUCAAGCUAGAGUGCAGGAGAGGAAGGUAGAAUUCCCGGUGUAGCGGUGAAAUGCGUAGAGAUCGGGAGGAAUACCAGUGGCGAAGGCGGCCUUCUGGACUGACACUGACACUGAGGUGCGAAAGCGUGGGUAGCAAACAGGAUUAGAUACCCCUGUAGUC
rnacentral:rRNA from 1 species